GAGGAUGUAGCUCAGAUGGACAGAGCACCUGUUUCCGAGACAGGAAGCCACAGGUACUCUGCGAGAAGCCGCUUGGCGUCUACAAUCCCUGUCAUCCUCG
rnacentral:tRNA from 1 species